GUGACACCCCUAUGGAGCAGGGCUUGCUUCAGUGGGGCUUUGAUGCUGACUGAGUCUGCCCCUCGAGUGUGUCACU
rfam:Myotis davidii contig27834, whole genome shotgun sequence.